rnacentral:rRNA from 1 species
AACGUAGGAGACAAACGUUAUCCGGAGUUACUGGGCGUAAAGGGCGUGUAGGUGGUUACGUAAGUCUGGCGUGAAAUAUCUCGGCUUAACCGAGGCAGGUCGUCGGAUACUGCGAGACUAGAGGACGGUAGAGGCGUGUGGAAUUCCGGGUGUAGUGGUGAAAUGCGUAGAGAUCCGGAGGAACACCAGUGGCGAAGGCGGCUCUCUAGUACGGUACUGACGCUGAGACGCGAAAGCGUGGGGAGCGAACAGG